rnacentral:rRNA from 1 species
GAUGAACGCUGGCGGCGUGCUUAACACAUGCAAGUCGAACGAGGAUAUCGGCAGAGAAGAAGUAGCUUGCUAUGGAAAGGAAGCUGAUAACCGAGUGGCGGACGGGUGAGUAACGCGUGGGGAACCUGCCCUUCAGAGGGGGAUAACAAGCAGAAAUGGUUGCUAAUACCGCAUGAUGCUCCAAACUCGCAUGAGGAGGGAGCCAAAGGAGAAAUCCGCUGAAGGAUGGCCCCGCGUUCGAUUAGCCAGUUGGCGGGGUAACGGCCCACCAAAGCGACGAUCGAUAGCCGACCUGAGAGGGUGACCGGCCACAUUGGGACUGAGACACGGCCCAAACUCC